rnacentral:rRNA from 1 species
GAUGAACGCUGGCGGCGUGCCUAAUACAUGCAAGUCGAGCGGACGGACGCGAAGCUUGCUUCUUUCUUGUUAGCGGCGCACGGGUGAGUAACACGUGGAUAACCUACCUAUCAGACUGGGAUCACUUCGGGAAACCGGCGCUUAUACCGGAUAAUCUCUUGCACCGCAUGGUUCAAUAGUGAAAGACGGUCUUGCUGUCACUUCUCGCUGCAUCCGAGCUGCUUUAGCUAGUUGGUAAGGUAACGGCUUACCAAGGCGACUAUGCCUAGCCGACGUGAGAGGGUGAUCGGCGACACGAGAAGUGAGACAGGGACCAGAGGACUGCGGGAGGCAGCAGUAGGGAAUCGUCCGCAGUGGGCGAAAGCCUGACGGAGCAACGGGGCGCGAGUGGUGAAGGUCUUCGGAUCGUAAAACUCUGUUAUUAGGUGAGAACAUAUGUGGAAGGAACUGAGCACAGCUUGACGGUACCGAAUCAGAAAGCCACGGCUAACUACGUG